GGUCUGUAGCCUAGUUGGUAAAGGCAGCACUCUAGUACAGUGUAGCUGAGGUUGUGAGUUUGACUCUCACCAGAAACA
rnacentral:tRNA from 1 species